AUGGCGCUGGUACCUCAGCCGCUGCUCUCUUUCUUCCUCGCCUCCCCAAACCUACCAAUCCUCCGACUCCUCCGCCGCCCCCUCAAAUCCUCCACCUCCAAAUGCUUCCUCCACCCCCAUCGUUUCCCACGGCGGCGCAACCAACCAGUCGCCCGCCUACCAGACGACGACGUGCGUGACGUGGAGGAAGACAUGCGGAGCUCUCCCGCCAGCUCCUCCGGUGCCCACCUCCUCGCCCCCCUGGAUGACGAAGAGGGCGGCGACGGAUGGUGUCCACCCAAUGGCGACGGCGCAGAGGAGGGAGAGCAGCUGAGCGAAUACGAGGCGUGUGAGUGGGACCCGCCUGUCGGCCCUUUCCGACCCCAGGCCCAGGAGCAUAAUCUCCAAGAGGAGGAUGACGAAGAUGAAGACGGCGGGGACUGCCCGUGGUGGGACCCGAGCUUCUUCUUGCCAAACCAAGAAGAGGCAAGCACAACCACCACCGCGGCAGUGGAAGAAAUUCUCGCCUUUGCAAGGAGCCCAGCGGCGGCCGACGGCUCCGGAUUCGCUGACUUCUUGGCUGGUUACAGCCGCAGAGCCCUCGGCGAGGACGAAUGCGUGGAAGUGAUGAGGAGGAUGGGUCAGGAAGGGCUGGCGUUGGGGUGCCUCCACUUCUUCCGGUGGAUGACGCGGAUGCUCGAGGAGCAGCCAAUGUCCUCGUCGCCGCAGGCAUGGUUGGUGGCUCUCGUGUUGCUUGGACGGGCGCGGAUGGCCGAUGAUGUCUUGGAGAUUCUGGGAAGUUUGCCGCUGGAGAGGGGAUUCCGGGAGGUGGUUCUGUACAACGCUGCAAUGUCCGGUGUUGCCUACUGUGGAAGAUGUGACGAUACCUGGAAAGUAUUUGAGUUAAUGGAGAAGAACAAUGUCCAACCUGACCACAUAACAUCCUCCAUCAUGUUAAUGGUAAUGAAGAAGCGCAAGGCAUCUGCUAAGGAUGCAUGGGAGUUCUUCCAGCGAAUGAACAGAAAAGGUGUCAAGUGGAGCUUAGAUGCCUCUGCCUCUCUAAUUAAGAUCUUUUGUGAUGAGGGGCUGAAAAAGGAAGCUCUUAUCUUCCAGUUAGAAAUGGAGAAGAGAGGAAUCCCAUCAAACACGAGCAUUUAUAACAUGAUAAUGAAUGCAUAUUGCAAAUGCAGUCAAAUUGAAGAAGCCGAGGGACUCUUUGUUGAGAUGAAAGAGAAAGGGUUAAAACCAACAACCCUGACCUAUAAUAUCCUUAUGGAUGCCUACAGCAGAAGAUUGCAGCCAGAAGUUGUUGAAUCAUUACUUCUGGAGAUGCACAAUUUAGGACUAGUGCGAAAUGCUAGGUCAUACAACUGUCUCAUAAGUGCUUAUGGGCAGCAGAAAAAAAUGAGUGAAAAGGGUGAAGAUGCUUUCCUGAGGAUGAAGGCGGAUGGCAUUAAGCCUACAUCUUCUUCGUAUACUUCACUGCUUCGUGCAUAUGCAGUUAAUGGGCAGGAUGAAAAAGCUCAUACGACAUAUACAGAUAUGAGAAGAGAAGGACUUAAGCCUUCCUUAGAAACAUAUACAGCUUUACUUGACAUAUUUAGGAGGGCUGGUGACACAGAGAAGUUAAUGGAUACAUGGAAAUCAAUGAUUGAUGAAAAGGCUGGAGGCACUAGAGUCACAUAUCACAUGGUACUUGAUGGUUUGGCGAAGCAUGGGUUGUAUGUUCAGGCAAGAGAUGUAAUAUCCGAGUUCGGAGAAAUUGGUUUACCUCCUACAACUAUGACUUACAACAUUUUGAUGAAUGCUUAUGCAAAGGGAGGACAGCAUUACAAAUUGCCGCAGCUCCUGAAAGAGAUGUCUAUUCUGGAACUAAAACCAGAUUCAGUUACAUAUUCUACAAUGAUAUAUGCAUAUGUUCGUGUCCGUGACUUUUCGAGAGCAUUCUAUUACCACAAGCAGAUGGUUCGAAGUGGGCAAGUACCUGAUGCUAAGUCAUACAGAAAGCUGUUGAAUACGUUGGAUGUGAAAUCUGCAAGGAAAAGCAUAAAGAAUAGAAGUACCAUUGUGGGAGUUAUAAAGGGCAAAUCUUCCUUAAAGCAUAGGAAGGAAAAGAAGGAUGAAUUUUGGAAGAACAGUAAAAAGCGGUCUAUGACCCAAGUCAUUGGGUACCAGCGAAAAAGAUUCUUGUGAUGCCCUAGUUAAGUGGAUAGAUACUCAUCCCCUAUGUUAUAUCAUGGUCCCCAUGCUUAAAUGCUCUUGAACUCUUCAGGUCAGAAAUUACAGGUUUGCCGUGUUACUAAUUCCAUAAGCGUUCAAAUUGAUUGCCUGGUUGAUCUUGAUCUGAAUAGAUUUGAUUUUUCAUUUUAAGUUGCUUGGCCUUGAACACAAUUCAUUUAAAUGAGCUUCAUCUGUUCGUCACUUUUGUCAAGAGAGUCGAGACUUUAACUCUUCUUAUAGACUUUCUAAUGCUCUAACAAGAAUCUGAUGAGGUGAAAAGAUGCCAUUUGGAUCAUAUGAACCGAUGGAUUUUUUUGGAAAUUAGAGGGAAAACCCCCAGUUCCAUCUGUUAGAAAUGAAAAUAAUACCUUUAUUCAAGCAUAUAUUAAGAGCAUUAAACCAUCCACAGGCCAAUGAAAAGAUGAAUGAUAUUAAUGUGAAUGGGAAGGUUAUUGUUGUUGGAAAGUAACACACAUCAUUUAAGUAACAUACAACAUCAGUUUAUUGGCCUAAAUCAUUUAGUUAUAAUCUACAAUAAAAAUCUAUGUUUCGAUUUUCUGCUAGGAUGCUCAGCAGUUUGACAUUUGCGAGACCCAUGAACACUUGAUGCAUAUAGCUUAUAGACUGUAAAAAGAGGAAUUCCUGAAGUAUGAAAUAUUGAUCAUAGCAUUGGUUCAUCAUAACAAUAGCCAAUAACCAGUUGGGCAAGCCAAUUAUUUAAUUCUCAAGUUCAGACCAGAAUUUCAUAAACUUUUUCUACACGAGAAGUGAAUAAAACUGUUCCUUUUUUCAAAAUAAUUUACACCAGUCUUUUAAGUUCUCCUGGGAGCUGCCACUGGUUUUGGCAAUGCUGAUCAUGUUCUUUCUGUAUACUUGCUGUUGCUCCUAUGGUAUAGUUUUAAUACUUAGUACUAGUACAAUAUUUAGCACAAGCAUGCUCUGUUUUCUGAUCCUUAUGAAUUGGUAAAAGUUAAGAUUCAGUUUUCUUGUGUGAUCAUGAUUGUACCAUUUAUAUUUCCAAUAUCAGUAUCGCUGCCAAGGAUGUCUUUUGGGUCAAACCUUUCGUUACAGGUCUAGGCCAGCACAGUCUGAACCACUUGUGCCAGUCGGCUUGGUCUUCUGAUCUGACUGGAACUCCUAGUCCUAGUUCCUAUCAAUCGAAUCGAUCGCAUUUGUAGGUCCAUGUCCAGCUUAAAAUAUUACGCAUGAAAGAUUUUAAAGGUGCGUGUCAUCUGUGGACCUGCAUUUGAGAAAUAUCCAAACUAGAACAAGUUCUUCACCAAGAGGCUGUAGUGUUAAAUAAUGGCAGUUCAAGAGUUGCAAUUACAAGCAUUCCUUACCAUGAAGUUAAAACAUACUGUCGUUUUGGAUCUGAUAUUCCAAGACAUGGUUGGCCAGUUACCUCAUAUGCAAGAUUCUUAUUUUAUUUGGAAGUCUCUGACCUUCGGUACUCAUCUGACUAGUUAGACUGAAGCUAACGGUAUCAGAAAGUGUGAGGUGGUUGGCAAAUUAGAGGAUUGUAGAAAUAAAAAAUGAAAUACUCUGUUUUUUCGCAACUUAUUGGCAACAUAUUACGAUUA